AGUGAACGCUGGCGGCAGGCCUAACACAUGCAAGUCGAACGGCAGCACAGUAGGAGCUUGCUCUUACGGGUGGCGAGUGGCGGACGGGUGAGGAAUACGUCUGAAUCUACCUUUUCGUGGGGGGUAACGUAGGGAAACUUACGCUAAUACCCCAUACUACCUACUUGUGAAAGCACGAGAUCUUCGGACCUUGCGCGAGUGAAUGAGCCGAUGGCGGAUUAGAUAGUUGGCGGGGUAAAGGCCCACCAAGGCGACGAUACGUAGGUGGUCUGAGAGGAUGAUCAGCCACACUGGACCUGAGACACGGUCCAGACUACUACGGGAGGGAGCAGUGGAGAGUAUUGGAUAAUGCGCGCAAGCUUAGUCCAGCCCUACCGAGUAGGUGAAAGAGGCCCUCGGGUAGGAGUGCUAUUUUGUUGGGAAAGAAAAGCAGCAGGUUAAUACCCCGCUGUUCUGACGGUACCCAAAGAAUAAGCACCGGCUAACUUCGUG
rnacentral:rRNA from 1 species